AGCGAACGCUGGCGGCAGGCCUAACACAUGCAAGUCGAACGAAGCCUUCGGGCUUAGUGGCGGACGGGUGAGUAACACGUGGGAACGUACCUUUUGGUUCGGAAUAACGCAGAGAAAUUUGCGCUAAUACCGAAUGAGCCCUUCGGGGGCCAGAUUUAUCGCCGAAAGAUCGGCCCGCGUUGGAUUAAGUAGUUGGUAUGGUAAAGGCGCACCCAGCCUACGAUCCAUAGCUGGUCUGAGAGGAUGACCAGCCACACUGGGACUGACACAGGGCUCAGACGCCUACUUGAGGCGGCAGUGGGGAAUCUUGCGCAAUGGGCGAAAACCUGACUCAGCCAUGCCGCGUGAUGGAUUAAGUUCUUCUGAGUUUAAAAUUCUUUUACCAGGAACGGUACUGACGGUACCUGGGGAAAAAGCCCCGGCUAACUUCGUGCCAGCCGCCGCCGUAACAC
rnacentral:rRNA from 1 species